GAAACUUAAAGGAAUUGACGGAAGGGCACCACCAGGAGUGGAGCCUGCGGCUUAAUUUGACUCAACACGGGGAAACUCACCAGGUCCAGACACAAUAAGGAUUGACAGAUUGAGAGCUCUUUCUUGAUUUUGUGGGUGGUGGUGCAUGGCCGUUCUUAGUUGGUGGAGUGAUUUGUCUGCUUAAUUGCGAUAACGAACGAGACCUUAACCUACUAAAUAGUGGUGCUAGCAUUUGCUGGUUAUCCACUUCUUAGAGGGACUAUCGGUUUCAAGCCGAUGGAAGUUUGAGGCAAUAACAGGUCUGUGAUGCCCUUAGACGUUCUGGGCCGCACGCGCGCUACACUGACGGAGCCAGCGAGUCUAACCUUGGCCGAGAGGUCUUGGUAAUCUUGUGAAACUCCGUCGUGCUGGGGAUAGAGCAUUGUAAUUAUUGCUCUUCAACGAGGAAUUCCUAGUAAGCGCAAGUCAUCAGCUUGCGUUGAUUACGUCCCUGCCCUUUGUACACACCGCCCGUCGCU
rnacentral:rRNA from 1 species